ACCCCAGAGAGCUGGAGGCAGUGGUACAGCCAGUGGGGAGGGGUGGGCCAACGAGUCCUCAUUUUGUGAACACAGCCAGAGGGGGAAGGUACUUCUCCAUUCACAAAAAUGCUGAGCUAGCAGGUUUUUGCACUUAUGCUUUAUCUCGUGGUUGCUUAGAGGGUGGUGUACCCAGGCUGAGCGCCUGAGCACUGCAGAGCUCCUCUUGCACAGCUGCUCUGGGUUACGUCAGCUGGCAUUAAAACUUGUGGAGAAUCUGCCAGUUCGACAGCUUAUGCCGGAGGUCAAUGUCCAGAUCUCCUUACAUUUAAAGCAGUGUAGAUGCACGAAAGCCAUGGAGCUCUACCUACUGGUGGCAGCCAUUUAUCUCUGCUACGUUUUCUUUCCACAUUGUCAUCACUGAGAUGCCUGAGAACAUUUGUGUGAAGCUGUUUUCUUACCCCUUCCUCAGAGAGGGAACUGUUCAUGCAUGAAAUGUUUUACUUUGACAGCGAUUUGCUUGAGAUAGAUUUCCUUCAAAGUACAUGUUCAUGGAUGUUUAUGGAGAAAUAAGUGUUUAAAAGCAGUAUGCCUGCAGAGUUUAAGGUGGUGAGAUUUACACUGCUUAGCUCUGUGGCCUGAGACUGUCUCCUGCAUAGACGAGCUUCAUGCUUCUGGUCGAAAGUCUUGUUGGGCACGAGAAAUGGAACUGCUGACCUCAGGGUUUAUCGUCAGGAUGUGCUACACUCAAGCCAGUGGAAAGAAGGACAAAGAUCUGAAGUUUUAUUCCAUAGUCUCUGAGGACACAGUGAAGAAAGCAGAAACAGAUGUCUGACAGGGACUGGUUUGUUUGUUUGUUUGAAGUGGGACGUGCUCAUGUUGCUUAUGUUGUUAGUGAAGUGAAUCUCUGUGUACUCUGCCAGGCCUCAUAGCUGGAACCAAGCCCUCAGAACUGUGAUGAUGUCCUGUACUGUUGCAAGAGACAGAUUAUUUGCUGAGCCUGCUGCCUCAAGAUAAAUUGUUGAUUUUCAGUGCUAAUAAAGCCCUACAGGGUUUGCUGGAAGUAUUUGGUACACAUCAGGUCUGUCAAUUCCUAAAUGAGCACUGAAGCAGCUAAAAAGAAAUGCAGCAGGUACAGCUCUAUGAACAGGGAGAGGAGUAAGAUACAGCUCAGUAGUAACUGACAAUUGGUGUCUUACCAGUUACUGCAACCCAGGCGGAAAUACUAUGAAAUAAAGAGCAGUAUUCCAUUCCCAUUUCUUCUGCAGCUAUGCAGAGGGACAUGCACAACGCUUAAUUAACCAGUGCUGAGCCUACGAGCUGUAUGUUAUACCACUGAGCACAGCUGAGACUCGCAGCUCAGAACUACUGAAGAAUAAAGGGUCCAGACAGAGUGAGCUGAAACAGCUGACUUAUAAAUCAGCUAACUUCCUGAUGAGGAUGGAAAUCCACAGUGGUCACUGCUGAAAAGUUAGUAUUUGCUCCCAAUAGUAUGCAGAGACACCUGCAGACCCUCAGUUGCCUUACAGAGAUGAGAAGCAGCAGUUCUGUUACCAGCUAUCACUGUGCUGAUGAUUACUGUUUAUUACAUUAUUUAGUAUUACAUUACAUGAUAGCUAUUACAACCUUGACAAUGUUGAGAGGAAGGCCUUAACCACAUUCAUAAUUAUAAGCCAUAAGCAUCUUGCCCUAUAACAUUCACCCUACCUAAGACCAUUGUUCUGCCUCAAGGUUUCUUGAGGAAGAAACUUUUUCCAUCUUAAAGCAAGUGAUUGGUAAUUGGUAUCAUACACAUUUCUGAAAAAAAUCCCAGAUGGACAUGGAAUUAUGAGGCUGUUGGCAAUUAUACUCUGGUAAAGUCUGCUGUAGUGAUUUGCAACGUGUGCAAAUAAUGAGAGAACAGAGGCAGAACGUGGAUCCAGCACAAAUUCUGUCACAAGAUCUCAAGACUUCAGUGUCUUUGCUCUUGGGACUGAAGGAUGUCACAAACAGGGAAUUCAAAGUCCAUCAGCAGGUUAGUUCCUGAUGUCUUGCUUGCAAAUGCUGUAGGUUAAUGAUGAAAUUUCUGUUGAUUGUUUAACACAGAUAUGUGCUUAAGAUCUCCCUGGGAAAGGCUGCCAACACUUAGUCUGGCUGAAUGUUCUCUGCCUUCUUCAACACUGCUGUUCAAAGUCCUGAGCUGGAGAACAUCUAUGCUUCAUUAUGAUGCCCAAACUCAGUGGAAUGUUGUGUCCAGAAGUCUUAUCAGGCUAUCUUAAUGAAUACAGAUUUUUCCAGAGUGUCACUGAGGUGAUUCAAGGGAAAAAAAAAAAAAAAGGAAAAGA